GAGGUGGGAGGGUUGCUUGAGGCCAGGAGUUUGAGGCUACAGUGAGCUAUGAUCACACCACUGCACUCCAGCCUGAGUGACAGAGCAAGACCCUGUCUC
ensembl:miRNA